UACGUAGGUGACCAGCGUUGUCCGGAUUUACUGGGCGUAAAGAGCGCGCAGGCGGUCGUUCAAGUCGAGUGUGAAAGCCCCCGGCUCAACUGGGGAGGGUCACUCGAUACUGAUCGACUUGAAGGCAGGAGAGGGAAGCGGAAUUCCCAGUGUAGCGGUGAAAUGCGUAGAUAUUGGGAGGAACACCAGUGGCGAAGGCGGCUCACUGGACCGGUACUGACGCUGAUGCGCGAAAGCGUGGGGAGCAAACGGG
rnacentral:rRNA from 1 species